UACUCGUGUGAAUAGAUCAAUGAUCGCACCAGAGAGAAACCCAACCGUGUGAGUAGAUCGCAUGUAGCAUGUAAACAUGCACCGUAGCUCACAUUGCAUGAAUAACACGUGUUCCACUUUUCUCCUCUCUCUUCCCUGUUUAUCUUUCCACUGCCCCCUCUCUCUCUUUCUCCGCUUCCUCUUCCCACUCUACCUCUCAUCCUAUUUCAUCACUUCCCUCACUCUCUUCCUCUAUCUUUUUUAGCUUUUUUCUGUGGUUUGGUUUCUUAUUUGCAUGCUUGAGCAGCCUUCUCCGUUGAAGAAACCCUAAGUCUAGCAGUUCGGGUUUCUUAUUUUUUGUUCUAAAUGAAACCCUCUUUUCCCCUGAUUUUAGCUCAGUUGAUAAAGUGAAGGACUGGGAAUGGGUUUGUCGCUACUUUGAAUCUGGCUACGCUUAUUGUAGAGUUGUUGCUGGUUUCGGGGUAGCCAAUGGAUGCAUUAGGUUGGUUUGUGUUGGAGAUGGAGGUUGAAGGCUAACCAAUCCAUCCACCAUUCGCCCAUGUUAAAUUGUCAAUUAUGUGACUGAUGAUUUAAGUUGAGGAGAAAGAGGGAACAUCUCCAUCUUUGGGCUUAGAGGCAGGUUC